GAAAGGAGGAAUCCGGUGGCGGCUGGGCAUGCGGCGCAUUAGCUUGACGGCGGGGUAACGGCCCACCGUGGCGACGAUGCGUAGGGGUUCUGAGAGGAAGGCCCCCCACACUGGAACUGAGACACGGUCCAGACUCCUACGGGAGGCAGCAGUGAGGAAUAUUGGUCAAUGGGCGGAAGCCUGAACCAGCCAAGUCGCGUGAGGGAAUAAGGCCCUACGGGUCGUAAACCUCUUUUGCCGGGGAGCAAGGGCCGGGACGCGUCCCGGCCCGGAGAGUACCCGGAGAAAAAGCAUCGGCUAACUCCGUGCCAGCAGCCGCGGUAAUACGGAGGAUGCGAGCGUUAUCCGGAUUUAUUGGGUUUAAAGGGUGCGUAGGCGGGCUUUUAAGUCAGCGGUAAAAAUUCGGGGCUCAACCCCGUCCGGCCGUUGAAACUGGGGGCCUUGAGUGGGCGAGAAGAAGGCGGAAUGCGUGGUGUAGCGGUGAAAUGCAUAGAUAUCACGCAGAACCCCGAUUGCGAAGGCAGCCUUCCGGCGCCCUACUGACGCUGAGGCACGAAAGUGCGGGGAUCGAACAGGAUUAGAUACCCUGGUAGUCCGCACAGUAAA
rnacentral:rRNA from 1 species